rnacentral:rRNA from 1 species
CUAUGCGCCUUGCCCAGCCCCGCUCAGAAACUUAAAGGAAUUGACGGGGGCCCGCACAAGCGGUGGAGCAUGUGGUUCAAUUCGACGCAACGCGAAGAACCUUACCUGGGCUAGACAACAGUGGACCGUCCUAGAGAUAGGAUUUCCCUUCGGGGACCGCUGGUUCAGGUGCUGCAUGGCUGUCGUCAGCUCGUGCCGUGAGGUGUUGGGUUAAGUCCCGCAACGAGCGCAACCCUCGUACUUAGUUGCCACCAUUCAGUUGGGCACUCUAGGUAGACUGCCGGCGUUAAGCCGGAGGAAGGUGGGGACGACGUCAAGUCAUCAUGGCCCUUAUGCCCAGGGCCACACACGUGCUACAAUGGGCGGCACAAAGGGUCGCGAACCCGCGAGGGGGAGCCAAUCCCAAAAAGCCGUUCUCAGUUCGGAUUGGAGUCUGCAACUCGACUCCAUGAAGUUGGAAUCGCUAGUAAUCGCGGAUCAGCACGCCGCGGUGAAUACGUUCCCGGGCCUU